rnacentral:rRNA from 1 species
AGCGAACGCUGGCGGCAGGCCUAACACAUGCAAGUCGAACGAACUCUUCGGAGUUAGUGGCGGACGGGUGAGUAACACGUGGGAACGUGCCUUUAGGUUCGGAAUAACUCAGGGAAACUUGAGCUAAUACCGGAUGUGCCCUUUGGGGGAAAGAUUUAUCGCCUUUAGAGCGGCCCGCGUCUGAUUAGCUAGUUGGUGAGGUAAAGGCGCACCAAGGCGACGCUGAGUAGCUGGUCGGAGAGGAUGAUCAGCCACAUUGGGACUGGGACACGGCCCAAACUCCUACGGGAGGAAGCAGUGGGGAAUCUUGCGCAAUGGGCGAAAGCCUGACGCAGCCAUGCCGCGUGAAUGAUGAAGGUCUUAGGAUUGUAAAAUUCUUUCUCCGGGGACGAUAAUGACGGUACCCGGAGAAGAAGCCCCGGCUAACUUCGUG